UGCUUCUGGGAAGAUGGUGGUUGUUUAGCUUGGAGGACAGUGCUUUGCAAGAAAGCCUCCCCCACCACACACUGCUGCCUCCUCGUAUGGUCCUGACCCAGGCCCCAAGCAUCAGAGCUGACCAACCGAAGCCUCUGAGGGUCUACCCAAACUCCACAGCGGUGUAAAAAUGUGACAUGGGAAAUUCCAGAAACGAGCAAGCCAUACGUUGUAAGGCAUGUGCUGUUCUGAAGAAGGUGAUGAAAUCCUGUGUCACCCUGUUCAGCCUGUCAGGGCUCUGAGUCAUCCUCUGAUUGCCACAUGGUAUCCACAUGGACCAUGAAUGGAGAGUAAACCUGCUGCAGGACCAUGAAUGGAGAGCUCCAAAUGUCUCCAUGCCAUCCUCAACACGGCUCUUCCGCAGGGUUUUUAUGACCCAGUCACCUCCAUGGCACUUCUCAGCUCUAUCACUUAAGGAUCAAACUGCUGCAUAUAAAUUUUGGGGAGCCAUACUACCACUCAGCUCUUGGCAAUGUGCAAACACUUUUAAGAGUCACCUAGGCGAUUGAUGAGUCACACCUCUGGGUACCUCAUGAAGAAUUUUCCACAAAGAACUAACCUACCAUGAACGCGGGCAGCAGCAUCCCGAG
rnacentral:lncRNA from 1 species